UACAUCCAGAGUUUGAUCAUGGCUCAGGACGAACGCUGGCGGCGUGCUUAACACAUGCAAGUCGAACGAUGAACCACUUCGGUGGGGAUUAGUGGCGAACGGGUGAGUAACACGUGGGCAAUCUGCCCUGCACUCUGGGACAAGCCCUGGAAACGGGGUCUAAUACCGGAUACUGACCCUCGCAGGCAUCUGCGAGGUUCGAAAGCUCCGGCGGUGCAGGAUGAGCCCGCGGCCUAUCAGCUUGUUGGUGAGGUAAUGGCUCACCAAGGCGACGACGGGUAGCCGGCCUGAGAGGGCGACCGGCCACACUGGGACUGAGACACGGCCCAGACUCCUACGGGAGGCAGCAGUGGGGAAUAUUGCACAAUGGGCGAAAGCCUGAUGCAGCGACGCCGCGUGAGGGAUGACGGCCUUCGGGUUGUAAACCUCUUUCAGCAGGGAAGAAGCGAAAGUGACGGUACCUGCAGAAGAAGCGCCGGCUAACUACGUGCCAGCAGCCGCGGUAAUACGUAGGGCGCAAGCGUUGUCCGGAAUUAUUGGGCGUAAAGAGCUCGUAGGCGGCUUGUCACGUCGGUUGUGAAAGCCCGGGGCUUAACCCCGGGUCUGCAGUCGAUACGGGCAGGCUAGAGUUCGGUAGGGGAGAUCGGAAUUCCUGGUGUAGCGGUGAAAUGCGCAGAUAUCAGGAGGAACACCGGUGGCGAAGGCGGAUCUCUGGGCCGAUACUGACGCUGAGGAGCGAAAGCGUGGGGAGCGAACAGGAUUAGAUACCCUGGUAGUCCACGCCGUAAACGGUGGGCACUAGGUGUGGGCAACAUUCCACGUUGUCCGUGCCGCAGCUAACGCAUAAGUGCCCG
rnacentral:rRNA from 1 species